UACGUAGGGUGCGCGCGUUAAUCGGAAUUACUGGGCGUAAAGCGUGCGCAGGCGGUUCGUUGUGUCGGUGGUGAAAUCCCCGGGCUUAACCUGGGAAUGGCCAUGGAAACUGGCGAACUGGAGUGCGGCAGAGGGGGGUGGAAUUCCGCGUGUAGCAGUGAAAUGCGUAGAGAUGCGGAGGAACACCGAUGGCGAAGGCAGCCCCCUGGGCUAGCACUGACGCUCAGGCACGAAAGCGUGGGGAGCAAACAGG
rnacentral:rRNA from 1 species